CAGGUACAGAGGGAUGCUACCGGGCGACCGGACGCGGAUCUCGAAAGCCUGUCCCAGUUCGGACUGGAGUCUGCAACCCGACUCCACGAAGUUGGAUUCGCUAGUAAUCGCGCAUCAGCCAUGGCGCGGUGAAUACGUUCCCGGGCCUUGUACACACCGCCCCGUCAAGCCAUGGGAGCCGGGGGCGCCUGAAGUCCGGGACCGCGAGGACCGGCCUAGGGCGAAACUGGUAACUGGGGCUAAGUCGUAACAAGGUACC
rnacentral:rRNA from 1 species